CCCAGGCCUGCUCCAGUUUGCAGGGGGUGGAGGAGCUGUUUUGCAGCUGGUGCUGGGAGGAUGGAGUGUCUGCAGGGUUAGACCCUGUGGGGAGCACUGCAGUCUCUGAAGAAUAAGACCCUAGUGACCGAGAAUCCCAGCCAUGAAUACAGCCAGCACUUUCUCCUUGGUACCUUCUUGAACCUGGUGCAUGAGAACUCGACUUUUUCUAACAUGGGAGUUGUACCUUAUCUUGUCUCCUCUUCUAAAAAUGUAAGCUUCAAGACAGAAAACUGUACUUGAACAAUAACUUUUUUAAAAAGCAAAAAAAUUUUAAACGUAAGCUUCAUAAGGGCAUGGACUCUUGUCUGUUUUAUGCACUGCUGAUUUACCCGGCCCUUGGAACAAUGGCUGAAAUACAGUGAGUGCUUAACAAGCAGCUGUUGAAGGACUGUGCAGCCCUGCCCGAGACGCGGAGGAUCACAGGACAUUUCAGCACCAGGCACCUGGACAGUUCCCGGCCUGCGCCGCCUUUCCGCGGAGACCACCUCAGGAUGACUGGAAAGGUGGGCUUGAAAGUGUGGCCGUCACCCUCAGGCUUGGAGCCUCCGAGCCCCAGCGGUGAAGUCGGUGACCUCCUCUGGGUCUCAAGUCCUGCCAUUGACUGCAAACUCACCCUGCACUUAGUAUUACCUUUUCCUUUUUUGAGUUCAGCAAUUAUUUUCUGUAUCUAUAAAGCACUGAGCGUCUCUUUUUCUCUUUGUCUCUCUUCCCCGUUCAUGUUCAUCAUGCCCCGAAUUCUCUGUCUCCCCCUUCUUUGCCCCUCCUUUCUCCACCUCUUUCCCUUUCCCCCGCUUUCCUAGCACAUCCCUCCUUCUUUCCCCUCCAAUUUCUCUGUCCUUCUUAUCCUUUCCUACCCUUCCCUCUGUUCUCUCCUCCUUAGAAGUAUCCUAUUUUUGCAGGACUUAAAUCUGACUUAUAGUAAAGGGGAGGCAGCAUCCCUCCCCCACUUCAUUUAGGAAGCAAACAGCAAAAACUGAACUACGUGCAGUUUUGCAUGAGCUUGCCCUGCGUGUGUCCUAGCCACAGUCUCAUCCACCAGGGGACCAGCCCAUAGCUGAUGAAAGCCUGCUCGCCCUCCUGCCCACUGUCUGCUGCCCUGGGAGGGCACCUGACAGGCAGCUGAAUCCCGUCACAGAGGUCAGGAGCUGAUGGGUGGGUUUACAGAUCUGCCCCGUCUCCCCUACUUUAGAUUCCUCUGUGGGCAGUUGUGGAUGAAUGAUUCUCCAGCUGUGGUUCCUGAGACCGGAAGUUAGAUGGUUCAUUGGUUUUUCCUGCUGGACCAGUUCUAGCAGCUGGGUGAGGCUUGCUACGUUACACGUACUCUAAUGCUGUCAUGUGGUUACU